rnacentral:rRNA from 1 species
UACAGAGGUGGCAAGCGUUGUUCGGAAUUACUGGGCGUAAAGGGCGCGUAGGCGGCCAUCUAAGUCAGACGUGAAAUCCCCCGGCUUAACCUGGGAACUGCGUCUGAUACUGGAAGGCUUGAGUAUGGGAGAGGGAUGUAGAAUUCCAGGUGUAGCGGUGAAAUGCGUAGAUAUCUGGAGGAAUACCGGUGGCGAAGGCGGCAUCCUGGACCAUUACUGACGCUGAGGCGUGAAAGCUAGGGGAGCAAACGGG